rnacentral:rRNA from 1 species
UACGAGGGGGGCGAGCGUUGUUCGGAAUUAUUGGGCGUAAAGGGUGCGUAGGCGGUUUGGUAAGUCUGAUGUGAAAUCUAUGGGCUCAACUCAUAGUCUGCAUCGGAAACUGCCGUGCUGGAGUGUGGGAGAGGUGCGUGGAAUUCCUGGUGUAGCGGUGAAAUGCGUAGAUAUCAGGAGGAACACCUGUGGCGAAAGCGGCGCACUGGACCACAACUGACGCCGAGGCGCGAAAGCUAGGGGAGCAAACAGG